GACGAACGCUGGCGGCGUGCCUAAUACAUGCAAGUAGAACGCUGAAGAGAGGAGCUUGCUCUUCUUGGAUGAGUUGCGAACGGGUGAGUAACGCGUAGGUAACCUGCCUUGUAGCGGGGGAUAACUAUUGGAAACGAUAGCUAAUACCGCAUAACAAUGGAUGACACAUGUCAUUUAUUUGAAAGGGGCAAUUGCUCCACUACAAGAUGGACCUGCGUUGUAUUAGCUAGUAGGUGAGGUAAUGGCUCACCUAGGCGACGAUACAUAGCCGACCUGAGAGGGUGAUCGGCCACACUGGGACUGAGACACGGCCCAGACUCCUACGGGAGGCAGCAGUAGGGAAUCUUCGGCAAUGGGGGCAACCCUGACCGAGCAACGCCGCGGGAGGGAAGAAGGGUUUCGGAUCGUAAAGCUCUGUUGUAAGUCAAGAACGGGUGUGAGAGUGGAAAGUUCACACUGUGACGGUAGCUUACCAGAAAGGGACGGCUAACUACGUG
rnacentral:rRNA from 1 species